rnacentral:rRNA from 1 species
UAGCGGAGGAAAAGAAACCAACAGGGAUUGCCUCAGUAACGGCGAGUGAAGCGGCAACAGCUCAAAUUUGAAAUCUGGCCUCUUUGGGGUCCGAGUUGUAAUUUGUAGAGGAUGUUUCGGGUACCGCCUCGGUUUAAAUUUCUUGGAACAGAAUGUCAAAGAGGGUGAGAAUCCCGUCUUGGACCGGCGGUAGGGCCCAUGUGAAACUCCUUCGACGAGUCGAGUUGUUUGGGAAUGCAGCUCAAAAUGGGUGGUAAAUUUCAUCUAAAGCUAAAUAUUGGCCAGAGACCGAUAGCGCACAAGUAGAGUGAUCGAAAGAUGAAAAGCACUUUGAAAAGAGAGUUAAACAGUAUGUGAAAUUGUUGAAAGGGAAGCGCUUACAACCAGACUUGCGCGCGGCGGUUCCCCCUUCCUUUUGGUUGGGCUACUCCGUCGUGUCCAGGCCAACAUCGGUUCUGGGGGUCGGUUAAAGACCCUGGGAAUGUAUCUACCCUUCGGGCGUAGACUUAUAGCUCAGGGUGUCAUGCGACCUCCCGGGACCGAGGAACGCGCUUCGGCUCGGAUGUUGGCGUAAUGGUUGUCAGCGACCCGUCUUGA